rnacentral:sRNA from 1 species
AGGCACUGUUUGAAGAAACAUGGCCCUGUAUCAGAGGUGGCGGCGGCUCCGGCUCCAAGGUUUACAGGCUUGCAGGCUACACACGGCAGUUGUGUCGACCCCUCCACGCUGGUUGGCAGAGCGGCUUGGCCUUUUUGAGGAGCUAUGGGCUGCUCAGGUAAAGAGAUUAGCAAGCAUGGCACAGAAGGAACCCCGGACUAUUAAGAUAUCACUUCCUGGAGGCCAGAAAAUUGAUGCUGUGGCAUGGAAUACAACCCCCUACCAACUAGCCCGGCAGAUCAGUUCAACACUGGCAGAUACUGCAGUGGCUGCUCAAGUGAAUGGAGAACCUUAUGAUCUGGAGCGGCCCUUGGAGACAGAUUCUGACCUCAGAUUUCUGACAUUCGAUUCCCCAGAGGGGAAAGCAGUAAGUUUCUUUCUUAUCAGGAAUACAGUGACUACUAAACCAAGAGAUAUUGAAGCAGGAAAUUCUAACAUUUUAUUCUUUUGCCUCAGUUUCUCCAUUUGUAGUUGGGAGGGAGACCUACCACAGACUGUCUUGACUAUUUCUGGUUAGGAAACUCAUGGUGAAAGUUUUUAACUUAGCUUCGAUCUAUUAAGCAAACAUUUGUGCUAGUGAAAGGGAGA